GUGAAUCAUCGAAUCUUUGAACGCAAAUUGCACUCUCCUCUGAGAGUAUGCCCGUUUCAGGUUCAGCCUCUAUAAAACCCACAUCGUUGCUGUUUCGCGGUGACGUUCGUCGGAAAUUGGGCCACCUUAAAUCCUUUUGGGUUUCAGCGACUUAACAUUUCCUUUUGGUUCCAUGAAUCGCUCUUA
rnacentral:misc_RNA from 1 species